CCUACGGGAGGCAGCAGUGAGGAAUAUUGGUCAAUGGGCGGGAGCCUGAACCAGCCAAGUCGCGUGAAGGAAGAAGGUACUUCGUAUUGUAAACUUCUUUUGUCGGGGAACAAAGGCGGAUACGCGUCUCCGGCUGAGUGUACCCGAAGAAAAAGCAUCGGCUAACUCCGUGCCAGCAGCCGCGGUAAUACGGGGGAUGCGAGCGUUAUCCGGAUUUAGUGGGGUUAAAGGGGGCGCAGGCGGGAGAUCAAGUCAGCGGUAAAAUGUCGGGGCUCAACCCCGCCGAGCCGUCGGAACUGGGGGCCUGGAGUGCGGCGGAGGAAGGCGGAAUGCGCGGUGUAGCGGUGAAAUGCAUAGAUAUCGCGCAGAACCCCGAUUGCGAAGGUAGCGUGCCGUGCCGCCACUGACGCUGAGGCACGAAAGCGCGGGGAUCGAACAGGAUUAGAUACCCUGGUAGUC
rnacentral:rRNA from 1 species